rnacentral:rRNA from 1 species
AUGAACGCUAGCUACAGGCUUAACACAUGCAAGUCGAGGGGCAGCAUGGUCUUAGCUUGCUAAGACUGAUGGCGACCGGCGCACGGGUGAGUAACACGUAUCCAACCUGCCGUCUACUCUUGGACAGCCUUCUGAAAGGAAGAUUAAUACAAGAUGGCAUCAUGAGUCCGCAUGUUCACAUGAUUAAAGGUAUUCCGGUAGACGAUGGGGAUGCGUUCCAUUAGAUAGUAGGCGGGGUAACGGCCCACCUAGUCUUCGAUGGAUAGGGGUUCUGAGAGGAAGGUCCCCCACAUUGGAACUGAGACACGGUCCAAACUCCUACGGGAGGCAGCAGUGAGGAAUAUUGGUCAAUGGGCGAGAGCCUGAACCAGCCAAGUAGCGUGAAGGAUGACUGCCCUAUGGGUUGUAAACUUCUUUUAUAAAGGAAUAAAGUCGGGUAUGGAUACCCGUUUGCAUGUACUUUAUGAAUAAGGAUCGGCUAACUCCGUGCCAGCAGCCGCGGUAAUACGGAGGAUCCGAGCGUUAUCCGGAUUUAUUGGGUUUAAAGGGAGCGUAGAUGGAUGUUUAAGUCAGUUGUGAAAGUUUGCGGCUCAACCGUAAAAUUGCAGUUGAUACUGGAUAUCUUGAGUGCAGUUGAGGCAGGCGGAAUUCGUGGUGUAGCGGUGAAAUGCUUAGAUAUCACGAAGAACUCCGAUUGCGAAGGCAGCCUGCUAAGCUGCAACUGACAUUGAGGCUCGAAAGUGUGGGUAUCAAACAGGAUUAGAUACCCUGGUAGUCCACACGGUAAACGAUGAAUACUCGCUGUUUGCGAUAUACGGCAAGCGGCCAAGCGAAAGCGUUAAGUAUUCCACCUGGGGAGUACGCCGGCAACGGUGAAACUCAAAGGAAUUGACGGGGGCCCGCACAAGCGGAGGAACAUGUGGUUUAAUUCGAUGAUACGCGAGGAACCUUACCCGGGCUUAAAUUGCAGAUGAAUUACGGUGAAAGCCGUAAGCCGCAAGGCAUCUGUGAAGGUGCUGCAUGGUUGUCGUCAGCUCGUGCCGUGAGGUGUCGGCUUAAGUGCCAUAACGAGCGCAACCCUUGUUGUCAGUUACUAACAGGUUCUGCUGAGGACUCUGACAAGACUGCCAUCGUAAGAUGUGAGGAAGGUGGGGAUGACGUCAAAUCAGCACGGCCCUUACGUCCGGGGCUACACACGUGUUACAAUGGGGGGUACAGAGGGCCGCUACCACGCGAGUGGAUACCAAUCCCAAAAACCUCUCUCAGUUCGGACUGGAGUCUGCAACCCGACUCCACGAAGCUGGAUUCGCUAGUAAUCGCGCAUCAGCCACGGCGCGGUGAAUACGUUCCCGGGCCUUGUACACACCGCCCGUCAAGCCAUGGGAGCCGGGGGUACCUGAAGUGCGUAACCGCGAGGAGCGCCCUAGGGUAAAACUGGUGACUGGGGCU